UACGAAGGGUGCAAGCGUUACUCGGAAUUACUGGGCGUAAAGCGUGCGUAGGUGGUUCGUUAAGUCUGAUGUGAAAGCCCUGGGCUCAACCUGGGAAUGGCAUUGGAUACUGGCGACCUAGAGUGCGGUAGAAGGUGGCGGAAUUCCCGGUGUAGCAGUGAAAUGCGUAGAUAUCGGGAGGAACAUCCGUGGCGAAGGCGGCCACCUGGACCAGCACUGACACUGAGGCACGAAAGCGUGGGGAGCAAACAGG
rnacentral:rRNA from 1 species